rnacentral:rRNA from 1 species
UACGUAGGGUGCGAGCGUUUGUCCGGAAUUAUUGGGCGUAAAGAGCUUGUAGGCGGUUUGUCGCGUCUGCCGUGAAAUUUCGAGGCUCAACCUCGAACUUGCGGUGGGUACGGGCAGACUAGAGUGUGGUAGGGGGAGACUGGAAUUCCUGGUGUAGCGGUGAAAUGCGCAGAUAUCAGGAGGAACACCGAUGGCGAAGGCAGGUCUCUGGGCCACUACUGACGCUGAGAAGCGAAAGCAUGGGGAGCGAACAGG